CAACUUGCCUCGUGGGGUAGUAAAUGGGAUCAGACCACCUCUUGGAUUUUUCCGAGAACAGGAGGUGAUUUUGAUUUGCUUUCACACAAGAAGAAAAAAACAAUUUGCUUCUUGUUCUUCUCGCCUUAUAUCUGAAGCGAGAAUUGCACUACCGGAUUUGAUGGGGACGCGUCGUAAUGCUCGUUUCCCAGAGACAAAUCUCCAGGUAAUGUCGAACUGGUGGUUCGAUUUUUCCAGUGGUGUGGAGCGACGUGUGUGACUUCACCGCCAAUCAAUUGAGCACGUUCUAGGUGGUGUUGGUAUCAUCUUGGCGAGGAGGUCUUGAUUCGAUGCUCAAAACUUGGUUUUGACCGAAUCAAUUUCUGGGCAGCAACAAAGAAAAAGCAGAAUCUGUUUGUUUUUCUUUUCGCCGGAAAGUCGUCGCCGGAGUUGCUGGGCGUUGUUUGGGUGAUCGAGAGGACUUCACUCUUGCACUAAAAAAUUUGAUUUUUGAGAGAGCUAUUUUCUGGUUGAAAAAUAGUAGGCCUAAGGUAUGUUUCUUUCUGUGAGAGAAUUUUUCGGAUAAGAGCCUAGGGCUCUGAUACCAAUUUGUUGGGUGGAGGAGUAUUUUUCAGACACUGAUUGUGAAUGAACUCGACAAGAGAAUUGAACACACAAACUCACAAUUUUGUACUUCACUCGAUAUGAAAAAAAACAUACAAGGAGGAGGAAAUUUUCUGUUUCUCUCUCUAUCUUUCUGAUUCUCUUACUCCACUCAUACUUUUACAAUCAGAUUACAAGUUUAUAUAUAGGUAGAACCAUAAGAAAAAACAAGAAUGAGAUAGUCUCUCAUUUAUUGCAAAUAUCAAAAUAUAUCACGGAAGCGUGAAAGUCUUCGUC